rnacentral:rRNA from 1 species
UACGAAGGGGGCUAGCGUUGCUCGGAAUCACUGGGCGUAAAGGGUGCGUAGGCGGGUCUUUUAAGUCAGGGGUGAAAUCCUGGAGCUCAACUCCAGAACUGCCUUUGAUACUGAGGAUCUUGAGUUCGGGAGAGGUGAGUGGAACUGCGAGUGUAGAGGUGAAAUUCGUAGAUAUUCGCAAGAACACCAGUGACGAAGGCGGCUCACUGGCCCGAUACUGACGCUGAGCACGAAAGCGUGGGGAGCAAACAGG